UARAGKUUUGWAUCAUKGCUCAKGGACGAACGCUGGCGGCGUGCUAAUACAUGCAAGUCGAACGCUUCUUUUUCCACCGGAGCUUGCUCCACCGGAAAAAGAAGAGUGGCGAACGGGUGAGUAACACGUGGGUAACCUGCCCAUCAGAAGGGGAUAACACUUGGAAACAGGUGCUAAUACCGUAUAACAAUCAAAACCGCAUGGUUUUGAUUUGAAAGGCGCUUUCGGGUGUCGCUGAUGGAUGGACCCGCGGUGCAUUAGCUAGUUGGUGAGGUAACGGCUCACCAAGGCCACGAUGCAUAGCCGACCUGAGAGGGUGAUCGGCCACAUUGGGACUGAGACACGGCCCAAACUCCUACGGGAGGCAGCAGUAGGGAAUCUUCGGCAAUGGACGAAAGUCUGACCGAGCAACGCCGCGUGAGUGAAGAAGGUUUUCGGAUCGUAAAACUCUGUUGUUAGAGAAGAACAAGGAUGAGAGUAACUGUUCAUCCCUUGACGGUAUCUAACCAGAAAGCCACGGCUAACUACGUGCCAGCAGCCGCGGUAAUACGUAGGUGGCAAGCGUUGUCCGGAUUUAUUGGGCGUAAAGCGAGCGCAGGCGGUUUCUUAAGUCUGAUGUGAAAGCCCCCGGCUCAACCGGGGAGGGUCAUUGGAAACUGGGAGACUUGAGUGCAGAAGAGGAGAGUGGAAUUCCAUGUGUAGCGGUGAAAUGCGUAGAUAUAUGGAGGAACACCAGUGGCGAAGGCGGCUCUCUGGUCUGUAACUGACGCUGAGGCUCGAAAGCGUGGGGAGCAAACAGGAUUAGAUACCCUGGUAGUCCACGCCGUAAACGAUGAGUGCUAAGUGUUGGAGGGUUUCCGCCCUUCAGUKCUGCAGCUAACGCAUUAAGCMCYCCCCSGCCG
rnacentral:rRNA from 1 species